rnacentral:rRNA from 1 species
AUUGAACGCUGGCGGCAGGCCUAACACAUGCAAGUCGAGCGGGGUUUUCGGACCUAGCGGCGGACGGGUGAGUAAUGCGUAGGAAGCUGCCCGAUAGAGGGGGAUACCAGUUGGAAACGACUGUUAAUACCGCAUAAUGUCUACGGACCAAAGUGUGGGACCUUCGGGCCACAUGCUAUCGGAUGCGCCUACGUGGGAAUAGCUAGUUGGUGAGGUAAUGGCUCACCAAGGCGACGAUCUCUGGCUGGUUUGAGAGGCGGAUCAGCCACACUGGAACGGAGACACGGUCCAGACUCCUACGGGAGGCAGCAGUGGGGAAUAUUGGACAAUGGGCGCAAGCCUGAUCCAGCCAUGCCGCGUGUGUGAAGAAGGCCUUCGGGUUGUAAAGCACUUUCAGCGAGGAGGAAGGGUGGUGUGUUAAUAGCACAUCAUUUUGACGUUACUCGCAGAAGAAGCACCGGCUAACUCUGUGCCAGCCGCCGCCGUAAUAC